rnacentral:rRNA from 1 species
CCUACGGGAGGCAGCAGUAGGGAAUCUUUCACAAUGGGCGAAAGCCUGAUGGAGCAACGCCGCGUGCAGGAUGAAGGCCCUCGGGUCGUAAACUGCUUUUAUAAGCGAGAAAUAUGAUGGUAACUUAUGAAUAAGGAUCGGCUAACUACGUGCCAGCAGCCGCGGUCAUACGUAGGAUCCGAGCAUUAUCCGGAGUGACUGGGUGUAAAGAGUUGCGUAGGUGGGAGAAGAAGUAGCUAGUGAAAUCUGGUGGCUCAACCAUUCAGACUAUUAGCUAAACUGUUGAGCUCGAGACCGUUAGGGGUAACGGGGAUUUCUAGUGUAAGAGUGGAAUCGGUAGAUAAUAGAGAGGACACCGGGAGCGUAAGCAGGUUACUGGGACGGUUAUGGCACUAAGGGACGGAAGCGUAGGGGACAAACGAGGUUAGGAAACCCUGUAAGU